AUUGAACGCUAGCGGGAUGCUUUACACAUGCAAGUCGAACGAGUGGCGGACGGGUGAGUAAUAUAUCGGAACGUGCCCCAUAGCAGGGGAUCACUACUCGAAAGAGUGGCUCAUACCGCAUCCUAUUGGAGCGACCAAUAUCGGAUUAGCUAGUUGGGGGGGUAACGGCUCACAAAGGCAACGAUCCGUAGCUGGUUUGAGAGGACGAACAGCCACACUGGGACUGAGACACGGCCCAGACUCCGACGGGAGGCAGCAGUGGGGAAUUUUGGACAAUGGGGGAAACCCUGAUCCAGCCAUCCCGCGUGUAUGAGAAGGCCUUCGGGUUGUAAAGUACUUUUGGCAGAGAAGCGGUAUCUGCAGAAUAAGCACCGGCGAACUACGUGCCAGCCGCCGCGGUAAUUC
rnacentral:rRNA from 1 species